UGACCUACGGGACGCAGCAGUGGGGAAUAUUGGGCAAUGGGCGCAAGCCUGACCCAGCAACGCCGCGUGAAGGAAGAAGGCUUUCGGGUUGUAAACUUCUUUUAAGAGGGACGAAGGAAGUGACGGUACCUCUUGAAUAAGCCACGGCUAACUACGUGCCAGCAGCCGCGGUAAUACGUAGGUGGCAAGCGUUAUCCGGAUUUAUUGGGUGUAAAGGGCGUGUAGGCGGGAGCGCAAGUCAGAUGUGAAAACUCGGGGCUCAACCCUGAGCCUGCAUUUGAAACUGCGUUUCUUGAGUGCUGGAG
rnacentral:rRNA from 1 species